GAGAACAUUUAGUGUUUCAUUGACUGACAUAAGUUCUGCAAGCAUAGCAUCUUGGAAUUGUAUAAUACUCUAUGAUUCGAUGUCUUAACUGUUGUUUUUUCUUCACAAUGUAAAAAGUUAAUUUAUAGUUCUUUCCUGAACACAACCUAGUAAAAGAAAUGGAUGAAAAUUUACAAAUAAUUCGUCAGCUAGUAAAUUUAUAUAUACGAUAACUAAAAACAAACAGUUUACUUAGAAAGUGUACAUUAGAUGUACUUGUCAAAAAGUUCGAACAUACUUUAUCUUUAACUUUUAGCAACAAAUAUGGAACAGCAUAAAGAUAGAGAAAUAAUUGUGUUUGCCGGCAAACGAAGAAAAACCGACUUCAAUUAUAUCGACAAGUAUACAACGUAGGUAGACGAAAAAAUAGUCAAGUAAAUACGCAUUAUCAAAGAUUACUUCAAAAGUUGUAAUCAGAUCUCGAU
rnacentral:misc_RNA from 1 species